rnacentral:lncRNA from 1 species
UGAGAGGAGGGGGCUUCCACUUCCAUCACCUGGCAAGGGAACCUCCACAGCCCAAGAAUAUUAACAUUUAUCAGGUGCCGGGCAUGGGCCUCAUGUGUUUUAUGUAAUUCAAUCCUCCCAACAAAAGUAUGAGAGCCAGCCCUGCAGCCCAGCCUUCAACAUGAGCAACUCCUGCUCUCUGUAGCUCCAGGCCCAGCCUGGACCUAUCUUUCAGAGCCAUAAUGCUGAGACAGUCCCUGAGUCUUGGAUGAACACGUGAGGAGAGGAUGCUGUUCUGAGAGCUGCUGAUAAUACGUGGAUCCACACCCACAGGCUUGAGCUGCUUGAUUGAAAUUCACGUCAAAAUGGAAUUCUGGUUUGGCUCAACUUGACUACUAUGGAUGAUGAAAAUAAAUCCCUGGGUCACACAAGGAUAGUGAUUGAGUAGAGCUUGCUUGCUGGCACAGGAAUGACAUUUCAACUGGAAUUAAAUUGUCG